rnacentral:rRNA from 1 species
AUUGAACGCUGGCGGCAGGCCUAACACAUGCAAGCCGAGCGGCAGCACGGGUACUUGUACCUGGUGGCGAGCGGCGGACGGGUGAGUAAUGCCUAGGAAUCUGCCUGGUAGUGGGGGAUAACGUUCGGAAACGAACGCUAAUACCGCAUACGUCCUACGGGAGAAAGCAGGGGACCUUCGGGCCUUGCGCUAUCAGAUGAGCCUAGGUCGGAUUAGCUAGUUGGUGAGGUAAUGGCUCACCAAGGCGACGAUCCGUAACUGGUCUGAGAGGAUGAUCAGUCACACUGGAACUGAGACACGGUCCAGACUCCUACGGGAGGCAGCAGUGGGGAAUAUUGGACAAUGGGCGAAAGCCUGAUCCAGCCAUGCCGCGUGUGUGAAGAAGGUCUUCGGAUUGUAAAGCACUUUAAGUUGGGAGGAAGGGCAGUUACCUAAUACGUAAUUGUUUUGACGUUACCGACAGAAUAAGCACCGGCUAACUCUGUGCCAGCCGCCGCAGUAAGAC